UACGGAGGGGGCUAGCGUUGUUCGGAAUUACUGGGCGUAAAGCGCGCGUAGGCGGACCUGCAAGUCGGGGGUGAAAGCCCGAGGCUCAACCUCGGAACUGCCUUCGAUACUGCGGGUCUCGAGUCCGGGAGAGGUGAGUGGAAUUCCUAGUGUAGAGGUGAAAUUCGUAGAUAUUAGGAAGAACACCAGUGGCGAAGGCGGCUCACUGGCCCGGUACUGACGCUGAAGCGCGAAAGCGUGGGGAGCAAACGGGG
rnacentral:rRNA from 1 species